ACUUAAUGAAAAUAUAAGAGAUAAAUCAUGGUAAAAACUCGAAUUCGAGGUUCUAUAAAGAAGUUUUCAUCCAAUGCUUUUCAGGAGCUGCUUGAAUUCAUUUUGCUAAUCAUUCUACAUUUUCCUACAGUUCACUACUCCAGAAUUUUGGCCAUUUUAACUGUGGGAGAAGGAUUGGCUCUGACCUCUAAGGCAGUGGCGGAGGCAGAAAUUCUAUCAAGGGGGUUCAAAUAAAAAAAAUGUUGUUGCCUGGAAUCGAACCUGUGACCCAAAGCUCACAUAGGCGAAAUCUUGAACCCCAUAAACCAUUGAGCUACUCCUUUGACAUAUGCUCAAGGGGUUCAAUUUUAAAUAUAUAUACGUAUACAAAAAAAUUGAUCUUAUAUAUAUAGUGUAAUUUUUUUUCCGAGGGGGGUCGGAUGACCCCCCUGGACACACUCUACAUCCGCCACUGCUCUAAGGAUGUGCUCGGAGUCCUAGGAACCCGAAAACUUUGAUUUCUCAUAAGGUGCGAGAGUCCUAAAAGCAACAUCUGCCGAUGACAACAUAGUCCAACUAGGUAUACUGCUAUGAAGCACAGGAGUGGCAUUCGAUAC
rnacentral:lncRNA from 1 species